UGCACCUCCCUAACGAUGCCCCUCCCCUAACGAUGCACCCAAAGAUGAACCUCCCUAACGAUGCACCCAACGAUGCACCUCCCUAACGAUGCACGUUCCCUAACGAUGCACCCGACGAUGCGUCUCUGCUAACGAUGCACCUCCACUAAUGACGUACCCAACGAUGCACCCAAGGAUGCACCUCCCUAACGAUGCGUCUCCCCUAACGAUGCGCCCCAUGAGACACCUCCCCUAACAAUGCGCCUCCACUAAAGAUGCACCCAACGAUGCGUCUCUGCUAACGAUGUGCCUCCGCUAAUGAGGCAUGCAAGCAUGCACCCGAUGAUUAGUGUCCACUAAGAUGCCUCCAACGACGCGCCUCCACUAACGACAUGCCUCCACUAACGAUGCGCCUCCGCUAUAUGAUGCACCUCCACUAACGAGGCGCCCAACGAGGCACCCAAUGAUUAACGUCCGCUGAAGAUGUAUGCAACGAUGCACGCAACAAUGCGCCUCUGCUAACGAUGUGCCUCCACUAACGAGGCACUCAAUGAGGCACCCAGUGAUUAAUAUCUGCUAAAGACGUAUCCAACGAUGCACCUAACGAUGCGUCUCUGCUAAAGAUGCACCCAACGACGCGCCUCUGCUAACGACGCGCCUCUGCUAACGAGGCACCCAACGAGGCACCCAAUGAUUAAUGACUGCCAAGACACACCCAACGAUGCACCCAACGAUGCGCCUCUGCUAACGAGGCACCCAAUGAUUAAUGACCGCUAAGAUGCACCCCAUGGUGAACUCAAUGAUGCGCCUCCGCUAACGAUGCGCCUCUGCUAACGAGGCACCCAAUGAUUAAUGACCGCUAAGAUGCACCCCAUGAUGAACUCAA